rnacentral:rRNA from 1 species
UGGGGGAAUAUUGCGGCAAUGGGGGGAAACCCUGACGCAGCAACGCCGCGUGAUUGAAGAAGGUCUUCGGAUUGUAAAAAUCUUUUAUCAAGGACGAAGAAGUGACGGUACUUGAUGAAUAAGCUCCGGCUAACUACGUGCCAGCAGCCGCGGUAAUACGUAGGGAGCAAGCGUUAUCCGGAUUUACUGGGUGUAAAGGGCGAGUAGGCGGAUUGGCAAGUUGGGAGUGAAAUGUCGGGGCUUAACCCCGGAACUGCUUCCAAAACUGUUUCCCUUGAGUAUCGGAGAGGUAAUCGGAAUUCCUAGUGUAGCGGUGAAAUGCGUAGAUAUUAGGAAGAACACCAGUGGCGAAGGCGGAUUACUGGACGACAACUGACGGUGAGGCGCGAAAGCGUGGGGAGCAAACAGGAUUAGAUACCCUGGUAGU